CCUACGGGCGGCAGCAGUGGGGAAUAUUGGACAAUGGGGGGAACCCUGAUCCAGCCAUGCCGCGGGUGUGAAGAAGGCCCUCGGGUUGUAAAGCACUUUCAGUGAGGAAGAACGCCUGGUGGUUAAUACCCAUCAGGAAAGACAUCACUCACAGAAGAAGCACCGGCUAACUCCGUGCCAGCAGCCGCGGUAAUACGGAGGGUGCGAGCGUUAAUCGGAAUUACUGGGCGUAAAGCGCGCGUAGGUGGCUUGAUAAGCCGGUUGUGAAAGCCCCGGGCUCAACCUGGGAACGGCAUCCGGAACUGUCAAGCUAGAGUGCAGGAGAGGAAGGUAGAAUUCCCGGUGUAGCGGUGAAAUGCGUAGAGAUCGGGAGGAAUACCAGUGGCGAAGGCGGCCUUCUGGACUGACACUGACACUGAGGUGCGAAAGCGUGGGUAGCAAACAGGAUUAGAUACCCCGGUAGUC
rnacentral:rRNA from 1 species